UUUAUGGAGAGUUUGAUCCUGGCUCAGGAUGAACGCUGGCGGCGUGCCUAAUACAUGCAAGUCGAGCGAACAGACGAGGAGCUUGCUCCUCUGACGUUAGCGGCGGACGGGUGAGUAACACGUGGAUAACCUACCUAUAAGACUGGGAUAACUUCGGGAAACCGGAGCUAAUACCGGAUAAUAUAUUGAACCGCAUGGUUCAAUAGUGAAAGACGGUUUUGCUGUCACUUAUAGAUGGAUCCGCGCCGCAUUAGCUAGUUG
rnacentral:ncRNA from 2 species